rnacentral:rRNA from 1 species
GGUUCGAUCCUGGCUCAGAUUGAACGCUGGCGGGAUGCUUUACACAUGCAAAUCGACGGCAGCACGGACUUCGGUCUGGUGGCGAGUGGCGAACGGGUGAUAAUGUAUCGGAACGUGCCCAGUAGCGGGGGAUAACUACGCGAAAGCGUAGCUAAUACCGCAUACGCCCUUCGAGAAGCAACAGGGGACCUUCGGGCCUCGCACUAUUAAGAGCGGCCGAUAUCGGAUUAGCUGGAUUGGUGGGGUAACGGCUCACCAAGGCGAUCGAUCCGUAGCUGGUUUGAGAGGACGACCAGCCACACUGGGACUGAGACACGGCCCAGACUCUGGGCAGCGAGUGGGAGCGUUUUGGACAAUGGGGGAAACCUGAUCCAGCUACAUCCCGCGUGUGCGAUGAAGGCCUUCAGGUUUAUCGCUUCGCGCGGCGGGAAGAGACGGGCAGGAUAAUGCUUCCAGUAAUGGUACCUAUGGAACCAAACACUCAGCCUAACUACGUGCCAGCAGCCGCGGUAAUACGUAGGGUGCAAGCGUUAAUCGGAAUUACUGGGCGUAAAGCGUGCGCGAGCGGUUCGGAAGAAGAUGCUGUGAAAUCCCAGAGCUUAACUUUGGAACUGCAUUUUUAACUACCGAGCUAGAGAGUGUGUCAGAGGGAGGUGGAAUUCCGCGUGUAGCAGUGAAAUGCAUGCUAUGCGGAGGGAACACCGAUGGCGAAGGCAGCCUCCUGGGAUAACACUGACGCUCAUGCACGAAAGCGUGGGGAACAAACAGGAUUAGAUACCACCGUGAUCACCUAAACGAUGUCUCAACUAGCUGUUGGGGCCUUCGGGCCUUGGUAGCGCAGCCUAACGCGUGAAGUUGACCGCCUGGGGAGUACGGUCACCAAGAUUAAAACUCAAAGGAAUUGACGGGGAUACCCAAGCAGUGGAUGAUGUGGAUUAAUUCGAUGCAACGCGAAAAACUACCUACCCUUGACAUGUCUGGAAUCCCGAAGAGAUUUGGGGAGUGCUCGCAAGAGAACCGGAACACAGGUGCUGCAUGGCUGUCGUCAGCUCGUGUCGUGAGAUGUUGGGUUAAGUCCGCAACGAGCGCAACCCUUGUCAUUAGUUGCUACGAAAGGGCACUCUAAUGAGACUGCCGGUGACAAACCGGAGGAAGGUGGGGAUGACGUCAAGUCCUCAUGGCCCAUAUGGGUAGGGCUUCACACGUCAUACAAUGGUCGGGACAGAGGGUCGCCAACCCGCGAGGGGAGCCAAUCCCAGAAACCCGAUCGUAGUCCGGAUCAUGAUCUGCAACUCGACUGCGUGAAGUCGAAUCGCUAGUAAUCGCGGAUCAGCAUGUCGCGGUGAAUACGUUCCAGGUCUUGUACACACCGCCCGUCACCAUGGGAGUGGGUUUUACCAGAAGUAGUUAGCCUAACCGUAAGGAGGGCAGGUUACCACGGUAGGAUUCAUGACUGGGGUGAAGUCGUAACAAGGUAA